AUGGCAACAAUGUCGGCGACCUCCAUCCUCUUCUCUGCCAUCGCUAUUAUGCUCCUUUCUAAUACCCUCGCCACCAAAUCCAAUGCCUCUGGGGGUGGCAAACCCGAGGUGACCAACUUCAUUUUGGAAGCGUGCAAGAAUGCCUCAAUGAAAAACCAAAUAUACGACCCCAACCCAAUCACGCAGGAGUUUUGUGUGUCGACCCUCAAGUUGGACAAUCGGAGCGCCAAGGCUAAAGAUAUCCAUAGCCUGGUACACGUCGCCAUCGACAUACUCAAGGGCCAAGUUGCUGCGGCCAAUGACAAUGUCAAACAAAUGCUGCACGACACUAAGAAUGGCACGGCUACAAUGCGUGCCUUCAGUUUCUGCAUGGUGCACUACAACCGCAUGGUGAGCAUCCUCAACAUAUGUGACACAAUGAUAAAGGAGUACCAUGGUCGCAAGGGCAGUGCCGACGAUGGGUUGCUGUCUUCUGAGCUGCCUUCCUGUGUGGAGAAAGUUGACAAACCUUUCAUCGACUGUUGGUUGGGCCUUCUUGCUAUGGAGGCGAAAAAGUUGUUAGAUGAAAAUUUUGCGGUGGGCAUGUUGGUCAAACUUAACUUUUGCCUUGCUAGCACCAUAUAG
rnacentral:rRNA from 1 species